AGCGAACGCUGGCGGCAGGCCUAAACACAUGCAAGUCGAACGCACCUUCGGGUGAGUGGCGGACGGGUGAGUAACACGUGGGAACGUACCUUUUGGUUCGGAAUAACGCAGGGAAACUUGUGCUAAUACCGAAUGUGCCCUUCGGGGAAAGAUUUAUCGCCAUUAGAGCGGCCCGCGUUAGAUUAGCUAGUUGGUGAGGU
rnacentral:rRNA from 1 species